CCUCAGCAUCAGGAACAGAAGGCAGAGCUCAGGAUGACCUUCACAAUGGCCUGGUCCUGUCUUCUCUUCACAUUUAUUGUUCAUUGCACAGGGUCCUGGGCCCAGUCUGUGCUGACACAGCAGCCCUCACUGUCUGGGACUCCAGGACAGACAAUCACCAUCUCCUGCACUGGAAGCAGCAACAAUAUUGGUGGCUAUUAUGUGAACUGGUACCAACAACUCCCAGAAACAGCACCUAAGCUCACCAUCUAUGAAUAUAGCAAACGAAACUCAGAGGUCUCUGAUCGCUUCUCUGGCUCCAAUUCUGGCAACUCUGCUUCACUGACCAUCACUGGGCUCCAUCCUGAGGAUGAGGCUGACUAUUACUGUCAGUCUUAUGACAGUAGCCUCAGUUCUCACACAGUGCUCCAGGCUCAUGGGGAAGUAAGACAAGAACCCCUUUACCAUCUGUCAGGAGGGCAAACACAUUGUAACUUUGCUCACGCAUAG